rnacentral:rRNA from 1 species
UACGUAGGGUGCGAGCGUUGCUCGGAAUCACUGGGCGUAAAGCGCACGUAGGCGGACUCUUAAGUCGGGGGGUGAAAGCCCAGGGCUCAACCCUGGAAUUGCCUUCGAUACUGGGAGUCUUGAGUGUGGCAGAGGUUGGUGAAACUGCGAGUGUAGAGGUGAAAUUCGUAGAUAUUCGCAAGAACACCAGUGGCGAAGGCGGCCAACUGGGCCAUCACUGACGCUGAGGUGCGAAAGGCGUGG